GAUGAAGAACGUAGCGAAAUGCGAUAAGUAAUGUGAAUUGCAGAAUUCAGUGAAUCAUCGAAUCUUUGAACGCACAUUGCGCCCCCUGGUAUUCCGGGGGGCAUGCCUGUCCGAGCGUCAUUACAACCCUCAAGCUCAGCUUGGUGUUGGGCCCCGCCGCCCCGGCGGGCCCUAAAGUCAGUGGCGGUGCCGUCCGGCUCCGAGCGUAGUAAUUCUUCUCGCUCUGGAGGUCCGGUCGUGCGCUCGCCAGCAACCCCCAAUUUUUUUCAGGUUGACCUCGGAUCAGGUAGGGAUACCCGCUGAACUUAAGCAUAUCAAUAAGCGGAGGA
rnacentral:misc_RNA from 1 species